CGUACACUCCUGCGGGAGGCAGCAGUGAGGAAUAUUGGACAAUGGGUGGAAGCCUGAUCCAGCCAUCCCGCGUGCAGGAAGACGGCCCUAUGGGUUGUAAACUGCUUUUAUCUGGGGAUAAACCUACUUACGUGUAAGUAGCUGAAGGUACCAGAAGAAUAAGCACCGGCUAACUCCGUGCCAGCAGCCGCGGUAAUACGGAGGGUGCAAGCGUUAUCCGGAUUUAUUGGGUUUAAAGGGUCCGUAGGCGGACUGAUAAGUCAGUGGUGAAAUCCGACAGCUUAACUGUCGAACUGCCAUUGAUACUGUUAGUCUUGAGUAAGGUUGAAGUGGCUGGAAUAAGUAGUGUAGCGGUGAAAUGCAUAGAUAUUACUUAGAACACCAAUUGCGAAGGCAGGUCACUAAGUCUUAACUGACGCUGAUGGACGAAAGCGUGGGGAGCGAACAGGAUUAGAAACCCCGGUAGUCCCAU
rnacentral:rRNA from 1 species